ACUCAAAGGAAUAGACGGGGGCCCGCACAAGCAGUGGAGUAUGUGGUUUAAUUCGAAGCAACGCGAAGAACCUUACCAGGGCUUGACAUCCCUCGAAUAACAUAGAGAUAUGUUAGUCCUACGGGACGAGGAGACAGGUGGUGCAUGGUUGUCGUCAGCUCGUGUCGUGAGAUGUUGGGUUAAGUCCCGCAACGAGCGCAACCCCUGUUGUUAGUUGCCAGCGAGUAAAGUUGGGCACUCUAACGAGACUGCCGGUGAUAAAUCGGAGGAAGGUGGGGACGACGUCAAAUCAUCAUGCCCCUUAUGUCCUGGGCUACACACGUACUACAAUGGCCACAACAGCGGGAAGCUAAGCGGCAACGCGGAGCAAAUCCCCAAAAGUGGCCCCAGUUCAGAUUGUGGGCUGCAACCCGCCCACAUGAAGUCGGAAUUGCUAGUAAUGGCAGGUCAGCAUACUGCCGUGAAUACGUUCCCGGGCCUUGUACACACCGCCCGU
rnacentral:rRNA from 1 species